GGCAGCGUGGCUUAGUGGAAAGAGCACGGUCUUGGAAGUCAGAGGUCUUGGGUUCUAAUCCCAGUUCCACCA
rfam:Ornithorhynchus anatinus chromosome 1, whole genome shotgun sequence.